rnacentral:rRNA from 1 species
GGAUGAACGCUAGCGGCAGGCCUAAUACAUGCAAGUCGGACGGGAUCCAGGGGGUAGCUUGCUACCUUCUGGUGAGAGUGGCGCACGGGUGCGUAACGCGUGAGCAACCUACCCAUAUCAGGGGGAUAGCCCGGAGAAAUCCGGAUUAACACCGCAUGACACAGCAACCCCGCAUGGGGACACUGUUAAAUAUUCAUAGGAUAUGGAUGGGCUCGCGUGACAUUAGCURGUUGGUGGGGUAACGGCCCACCAAGGCGACGAUGUCUAGGGGCUCUGAGAGGAGAAUCCCCCACACUGGUACUGAGACACGGACCAGACUCCUACGGGAGGCAGCAGUAAGGAAUAUUGGUCAAUGGGGGCAACCCUGAACCAGCCAUGCCGCGUGCAGGAUGACUGCCCUAUGGGUUGUAAACUGCUUUUGUCGGGGAAUAAACCCCACUACGUGUAGUGGGCUGAAUGUACCCGAAGAAUAAGGAUCGGCUAACUCC